UGGCAAGAUGGCCGAGUUGGUCUAAGGCGUUAGACGUCAGUAUCCCAUACAAUUUCUUCUUUAGGAAUAAUUCACUAACAUCCCCUUAGUCAAGAGAACUAUCUCUUCACUGCAAUCCAGUGAGCAUUCUAAUCUCGCAAGAGGCACGGGUUCGAAUCCCGUUCUUGUCAU
rnacentral:tRNA from 1 species